rnacentral:lncRNA from 1 species
AUAAAAAAAUGGCGAAAUGAAAUUCACGGUACCAGGGUCAACCGAGCACGGACGCGUAAAGCCAACAAGGGGGGACCGGGGGAGCACGAGGAAACCGAGGAGACUGACCCAACCCGUGCUUGCGGCGGCGCUGCGCUGGUGCCGGCCACGGCCAUGAUCGGCGGCGGGCGGGCAGCGGAUAGCCACCCGGCGUCCUGCUCGUCCUCGUCCUCGUCUUCCUCCUCGCCGUCAGGCCCGUCGACGGGGGGCUCCCGCCUUCACCGCAGCAAGAGGCGUCCCGACAUCCUCAACAUGCUCAUGGAUGACGAAGGUGAAAAUGAUGCCUAAGUUAUGU